rnacentral:misc_RNA from 1 species
AAGUCGUAACAAGGUUUCCGUAGGUGAACCUGCGGAAGGAUCAUUAACACGUAUCCAAACGUUAAAACCCCCCCCGUGAUGCUUCAUCCUGCUCCCGCGUAGUUCUCAAUCUCUGAUAAAUCAUAGCCCGGAAAGUUGUAGUGACCAAGCAGCCAGUGUCUGAAAGUGUCAUUGAUUGUGCAAGGAUAGCGCUUCUACGAUUCCUGUAGACCGUACACUCGGGCAGGAGCUUUGCCAAAGGGUCCCCAUGCCCCUAAUAACCCCACAGUUUAAUGUGAAGCUCAAUGUAAUACAUUGGGUAAAAAAACCGAACAACUGUUAACAAUGGAUAUCUUGGUUCUC